GGGUCGUUAGCUCAGUUGGUAGAGCAGCUGACUCUUAAUCAGCGGGUCGUAGGUUCGAUCCCUACACGACCCACCA
rnacentral:tRNA from 1 species